rnacentral:rRNA from 1 species
GACGAACACUGGCGGCGUGCUUAACACAUGCAAGUCGAACGGACAGGCCCUGCUUUUGUUGCGUGCUCGAGUGGCGCACGCGUGAGUAACACGUGAGUAACCUGCCCCUGACUUUCGGAUAACUUCAGGAAAAUCGGGCUAAUACCGGGUAGGAUAUCCUGCUGCGUGGUGGGCGUUGGAAAGUUGCGGCGGUUGGGGAUGGUCUCGAGGCUUAUCAGCUACUUGGUGGGGUAGGGGCUGACGAAGUCUUUGAAGGGUAGCCGGCCUGAGAGGGUGACCGGCGACAUUGGGACUAAGGGACGGCCCAGAAUGCUACGGUAGGCAGCGGGGGAGAACAUGGCGCAAUGGGCGGAAGCCAGAGGCAGCAACGUUGCGUGCGGAAUGACGGGUUUCGGGUGGUAAACCGCUGUCGCCGGUGACGAAGCGUGAUUGACGGUAAUGGGUAAAGAAGCACCGGCUAACUACGUG